AGACGCUUUAUCCCCCCAUGCAAGUCGGCAUACAUCCCCAAAAUAAUCCUCUGUUUUCCAUGGAUAAAACAGAGUUCCUAUACCCCCUAGAAGAGCACCCCAACCCGCAAGCUACCCCCAUCUCCAUGAGCGAAUUCCAUGACCAACCCACGCCGUAAGCCCUCAAAAAACUGUCCCCUCAGAAGACCAAAACCGAACGGUCAGGAACACCCACCAUUUGAAACCGGAAUCCUCCAUCUCCACCAUGGAAUAUCCCUCCGCCCAGCUGGGUGAUAUGUUAAGGAAGAAGACUCGGAAACAAAACACCUGGUGAUGAACAUAACACAGCCAAACAGCUUUAUUAUAAAGGAAAACUAGUGACUUAGAACCAAAAGCAAAAGGAAAAAAGGAGGAGGGAGGGAGGAGCCGAAGCUCCACGCCCCAAGCCCCACGCAGUACCCCGUAAAAGGGUUACGUUUUUCCCUCGCCGCGACCAAAUAUCCAGUGCCGCUGUGAAUUCGUCGCGCCUCACGUCACCGCCGACACCGAGCUCGCCAUGCGUCGUCUCCUCUGCCGUCGCCUGAAACAGAGGACUUCUUGUGCCGGCCCCAUCCGCCCUAUAUUAACCACGGAUCCGUCUCUCUCUAUAAAACCCCUCUCUCACUCUAUCCCUCACUCUGCUGACUUUGUAUUACAAUGGGAGAAGUUAAAUCAUCGCAAGACCGUGUUGAACCAACUACGUAGGAGGUUUAAUUCUUUUCACUACGAGUUGCACAAGAUCUACAACAGCUAUGGAAGUCAUAAAAUGGCGUUGGCAAAAGGCACUGAUUUGGUGGAUGCAGAGGUGUGGAAGACUUUAUGCGAUAGGUGGGGUAGCAAGGACUUCUACUCUAUCCGUCUCAUGCUUUCAUUAUAGGGUUCUUGCCAACGUUGUUUUAGAGGUCACAAUGGCCCAGUCUCUAUCUUGUCCGAUAAAUUGUUAGGUGAGGUUGGUGGAAAAGUAUUGGCAAGUGGAGGUGAAGAUGCUACUGUUUGCCUUUGGUCCCUUAACUCUAGUUGCAAGUGUGGCCAGCAGGCGCUAAAGGCUACUCUGUAUGGGCAUGAAAAACCUGUGAAGUUAAUGUCAGUUGCUGGGUAUGAGUUUUCAAUGAUUAAAACUUAAUAAAUGUGACUUUAUUAUUUGAUGCUAACUAUCUUUUAGGUUUUAAUAUUGUGCACCAAGUAAAAUGGAAUCUUUAUGUUGGGGGUGACCAUUUCUUGUUAUUAAACUGAUCUAUUCUUGCUUUCAUCAUUCUUCCGGGCAUAAAACUUCUCUUUUGGUGACCAUUUCGAAAAGUUCCAAGGUACCUCCAGUUCAUAUUAUUGCCGUUAUUGUUAAUGCUUGUAACAAUAAGCCAUUGGACUUGUUAUUUGGUCAGCUAUUUUAUUAUGCAUGUUAAGAUAUGGAACUAGUACUUAUUUAUGUCAUAGCUUCUGACAUACAUGACAUUUAAUCCUUCUUGAUCACCACGUCAUCACUACGUCAUUCUCUGUUUCUUUCUUGAUUUGUAUGAACUCUCUGUUUACUUGAGUAAGAUGGUUGACCGAUCCCCAGGGAACAUGGGGGUAUCUCGCCCUCAACUUAGGGGAAGAAGAUGAAUAAGCUUCGUUUUCAUUUUUGCUACAUUUGCUUUGAAUUUGGAAUGAAAAAAAUAUUGCAACCGUGUAGUAUUAGUCUUCAAGAUGAUGAGGUGUAGGAGCGGUACACGUUGAUUUUUACGACUAAACAUGCAAACUCUGUUGAGAACCAUAAAUCUUCACAUGUAACUCUCUUUCUUGUGCCAGGAGAAUUCUAUGCUUUGCCUCCAAUUCCACAACUGUUUAAGCAGAUGUUAAUAUUCUUUGGUACUAAUUUUCUAGCAAUAUUCAAUGAAGUUUGUGAUUCAAGUUUUUAUCUCAUCUCUACAUAUGUUUUUGAGAUGAAAAUCUCCUUUGGGGGACAAGUUUUACCCGGCUAGAUAUUGAAAUGGCUUUCACGCCUUUGGAGGACAAUAUUUCUGCAAGUAGGACUUAAUGUGCUUUGUACUUUGAUGUGACUUGAGAAGUCUAAAGUUGCACAUGACAAAUAUAAUGUAGUUGCUUUAUGCAUUCUAAUAUAAUGUAAUUGCUUAGAAUAUAAAGCAAGUACUUUGUGUAAUUGUUUUAUGGAUUGUAAUAUAACGUAAGAUGUGUAAUUUUUUUUUUUUUAUGCAUUUUGUUUCAAUAUUAUUAUUUAUUUUGUAACACAAUAUUUUCGGGGAUCUAGAAUCGUGGGAAAUAAUUAACUCUCUGUCACUACUACUUAUUUGCGGCAACUAUCAUUGCUGCAAAUAUCUAUUUGGGACCACACAAAUUUUUACACCAUUUGCUGCAGAAUAUAUGACGUUAUGGUUGGAAAUUAUUAUUUGCAGCGAUUAUACUGCUGCAAAUAAACAUGGGUGACUAUUUAUAAUUUGUGGUCGCAAAUAAGUAUUUGCUGCGUUAUAAUCGCAGCAAAUGAGUAUUUGCUGUGGUUUAACAAGAAUUUGCGACCAAAUCUCAAUAUUAUAGCUGACCAUUUCCGGCAAGAAAAAAUCGUCACGAAAAGUUCUAUUGGCAAUAAUUAACCUUGGUUGGUGCUUUUUUGUGAUGAAAUUUUAGACUAUUUGCUGCGUUAUGGAUCGCCGCAAUAGUUCAUAGAUUUCGUGACGCUUUUUUGUAUCGCUGUUAAAAACUUUUUGAGAUGUAGUACCGACCAUCUAGCGGCGAAAGAGCUUGGACGCCAAAAAUCAUUUGCGGUGCAAUUUGACGUUUUUGCGACGAUUAUUUUCGCCGCAAAAAUCUAAAUUUGAAGAUCCCAAACCAAGAGGAGCAAUGCUGUUAGAACUGUGAAUUAGCAUCAUUCGAAGACAAAUGCAUCCCGCAUUCUUUAACUUUCACUUCCACUUCUAUUUGUAACAUUCACUACUUUCUGUACAUAGACUACAUAUUGUAUAUAUAUUAGAAGACUCCCUAUACUCUCACAUUGUGUGACACAUUUCCACAUACAGUUAGUUCACAAUUGUCUUUAUGGCAUCUAGAGACAUUGUGAGAGCAAGAGAGUCUUACUCCCAUGGCAGCCAUUUCACUAUCUGUCAAUAACUUUUACGGUUGAACCAUGGAAAUUAUCCCCUAUGGAGAGAACAAGUCGUGCCCUUGGUUGAGAGCCACGACCUCAUGAACCACCUCACCAAUUCUGUUUCUCCACCGAUGACUUAACAACAAUCACCCACAAAGAAAUCAACCCCACUUACCUACAAUGGUGGAAGGAGGAUUGAUUGCUUUGGGGUUGGAUCAUCGGUACACUGUCCGAGGAAUCAUUUGGCUUAGUUGUAGGGCUUGAAACUUCCUACCAAGUUUGUCAUGUUCUUCAAGAGGCCUAUGCUCAGGAGUCCCAAGAAAGAGAAUUUCAACUUACUCAAUCACUCACCUACAUGCGGAAGGAGGCGUCGGUUUUGUUACAGGACCAUCUUAGAAACUUCAAAACUGUAUGUGAUAAUCUAGCAGGAAUUGGUCGACAAAUUGAAGGUGUUCGCCCUUCUCAACGGCCUUGGACCGAAGUACGAACCCUUCAGCACACCAUGCUCAAGGCGCCGAUGCCUUCUUAUGCUGAGGUUGUGUCACUGCUACAGGGGUUUGAUACACGAACCCAACUUCACGAGACCUACAACGCACAAAGUUAUGUGUUUUAUGGCCCAAAUGCAAGGAACGGGAAUUCUAAACCGAAGUACUUCUCAUCCCGUGGAUGUGGCUUCUCCCAAGCCAAUCACGUGUCACGCCCAAAUCCCUCUCCCAGUGGGACACAACACAACUCUGCCCCAAAUAAUGUAUGUGACUCUUCUUGGGAAAAUACUCGCAUGGAGACUUGUCAAAUUUGCGGAAAAAAGGGGCAUAUUGCUUUAAAAUGCUGGCGCCAGUUUGAUCACGCUCUUCAGCCUGAUGACAUUCCUCAAGCAUUGGCUGCCAUGACACUUGAAAAUGGCAUUCAUGAUGCUGAGUGAUUGUACCACACUUGAAAAUGGGAUAGUCAGGUAGCUCUGAAAUUCAAGCAUAGAAACAGUAAAGGCUGCAACUAUGGUCCACCAUAUGAGUGGCAAGUGUACAACACUCUUGGUGCUAGUCAUGUAGUGCCAAACGUACACUAUAAAGGGAGGCAAGGAGACUAUUAUGUUAUGGUUAUGGACAUGCUAGGUCCCAGCUUGUGGGAUGUUUGGAAUACUUCAGGGUAGGCGGAAAGUUCCGAGGGCGUGAUGCAUGGGACUGGGGUUUACUUUGCUGGGGGGUCCGAAGGGCCCUGCCUUGGAGAGGUUCCCCGACAUAAAAAAAAAAAAAAAUGUUUAGAGGAACCGUUCGAUAUGCUAGUGUUCACGCUCACCUGGGAAGAACUGCUAGUAGAAGAGAUGAUCUUGAGUCUUGCGUAUACACUCAUCUUUCUCCAUCGAGGCAGGCUGCCUUGGCAAGGCUAUCAGGGAGAUAACAAAUCAUUUCUAGUUUGCAAAAAAAAAGAUGGCAACCUCUCCUGAAAUGCUAUGCUGCUUCUGCCCGCCACCUCUUAAGCAAUUUCUUGAGAUUGUGGUGAACAUGAAAUUUGAUGAGGAGCCUAACUAUGCCUAGCUAAUAUCUUUGUUCGAGGGCUUAUUAGGCCCUAAUCCGGCUUUAAGGCCAAUAAGCACUGAUGAUGCUCAAAAGGUUGGUCAAAAACAGGGUAGGUUGAAUAUUGAGGAUGAUGAUGAUGGGCAGCCCAAGAAGAAGGUUCGAUUAGGAGUUCCUGCUACACAGUGGAUUUCAGUUUUCAAUGCUAGGCUACCAAUGAAACAGAGGGUCUGUAUUCUUCUGCAAUUGAUGCUCUAAAAUGUUUCACGUGGUGUAUCAACUCAAUCGCAUAGAAUGGGCGCACAAAAGCUUGAAUUAGACUAGCCUCUUCAUAUCCACCUAUCGAAAAGAUGAAGAAGAAGAAGAAGCUUGAUUUAGAUUUUUUAGAUACUAAUCUUGAGAGCCAAAAAAUCCUAUGUUAUGGUAUGAAGUUUGAUUGGCAACGCUACCAAUCAAAAAAAGUUUGAGCGGCAACACUACCGAUAAAAAGUUUUCUCUGAAGAUGAUUUGGUUCCUUAUUACUUCUAGAUUUUGCCUCCUGACUCUUUCAUUCAAUAAAUUAAACAAAGCUUGGAGAAGGUUAGCUGGUAGCAGUCCAAUUGCAGUAGUGUGGAAAAUGGUUUCUACUUGCCCCAUAGAGUUUAUUUGGAGGGAAAGAAAGCAAAAGAAGUUUUGAUGGAUUGUGGACGGAUAAUGCAGGAGCUAAAGAAUUUCUUUCUCAAAACUAUACUGCUUUUGGACAAUUUCUAUAGACUUCAGUAGGCUUAAUUUACAUGAUUUUUUUGUAUAUUUUUUUCUUUAUAGAUAGGUGAAUGACUCGUAUGUCACGUGUACUUAGAUUGUGCCUUUUGCGCUUUUAUGAUAGUUCUCUUAUUACUUGCCAAAAAAGAAAAAGUUAAGAUAAGCCUGAUUUUUAAUGUGUAAGAGUAGUGUCAUAAACAGCCUAAAAGGGGGAACAGUAGUGUACAAGAGGGUUCCCCAUGCUAAGCUAAGCCUGAUAGGGUCAUUAAAUUGAUUAAGUGAGCACCAUGCUCUUUCAAAUCACGAGGGUAUUAACAAAGAAAUUCUAUUACUCAACAAGGCCAAGGUUAUUAAUAAAAUCACGAGGUACCGUCCUCUUUCAAA